rnacentral:rRNA from 1 species
GACGAACGCUGGCGGCGUGCUUAACACAUGCAAGUCGAACGCUGAACCCGCUUCGGUGGGGGAUGAGUGGCGAACGGGUGAGUAGCACGUGGGCAACCUGCCCCCGGCUCUGGGAUAACUCCAAGAAAUUGGGGCUAAUACCGGAUGUGACCGCUGGCCGCAUGGUCUGGUGGUGGAAAGGGUUUCCGGCUGGGGAUGGGCCCGCGGCCUAUCAGCUUGUUGGUGGGGUAGUGGCCUACCAAGGCGACGACGGGUAGCCGGCCUGAGAGGGUGACCGGCCACACUGGGACUGAGACACGGCCCAGACUCCUACGGGAGGCAAAAGUGGGGAAUAUUGCGAAAGGGGCGGAAGCCUGACGCAGCGACGCCGCGUGGGGGAUGACGGCCUUCGGGUUGUAAACCUCUUUCAGCAGGGACGAAGCGCAAGUGACGGUACCUGCAGAAGAAGCACCGGCCAACUACGU